ensembl:lncRNA
GCAACAGAAACUGAAUCUGGUGAACUCAAAACCAGCAAAAAAUACAGGAAGACCAUUGGCAGAUCACAGCCAUGGAAAAGCCAGACAGCCGGGCCCGAGAAGCGUGGAAUUGUCAGCAGAAGGGCUGCAUAGAGCAGCUCUUUGGAAGAUUCUACAGGAUGGCUCAGCUCUAACCUCUCCCCACAGGGGUUCUCAGCUCAAGACACGGAUUUCCAAGGAAGAAUCUGAUGGGCUAUCUUGGAUCCUGUGCUCACCCUGUGAUUAGGGUGGUCAGCGUAUCUGCCUCUGCUUGGGAACAGGGCACUUCUCUUGCCAAAGAAAGGGGGAAGGGACCAUCAAUCAUCUGCCAUAAUGGGAUGCAUUUGGAGGAGCUUCCUGAAUCGAUAUUCUGGCUCUGCCACGUUUCCGCCGAGAGAGCUCAGCACGUCCUUUAGUGUCUCUGAGAUUCCAUUUCUGCGCGUGCAAUGCCGGCCACGCAGGGCUGAUGAGAGAACCAGAGGGGAGCGUUAGUGCUGUUUCUCAUGAUGGCCAGUGUGGUGUCACCCAGGCCACAGCCCUUGUGUUCUCGUCUCUCAGCAGGCCUGACUUUCCCAUCAGCUGGGGAUGACUAACGGAGGUGACCCAGCAGAAAAUCCAACCAAAACAGGGAAGACAGCCUGACCCUCAUUCCACACAGCAGAAGAAAAGAGAGCUGGAAAAACAUGAGAGAGCUGACGGAGAUGAAGAAGAGUGACCUUGAUUUCAAUCAUUAACGAGUUAUGACUCGUUGAGAAAUGUUCUGUAGCGUGAGGCAGAGAUCUGACUGUGUUGUAUUGGUGGCUUGUCUCAGAAUUAUUUGACAACCUGUUCUUUCACCACCGGCGCGCGAUGUCUCCUGUGCCACUUGAUGUCUCAGCCACGCGCAACAGAAGGCCCAAAGCAGGUGGGCGUACACCCUGCUGGAGGGCACAGAGCCCGGGGGAGGGGGCCCGCUCGCACUCUGCCCUCUGGCUGUGGCCUCCAUGGCUGUGCCUCAGCCCACGUGUUGCCUUCCUCCUCUGGAUGCUGCCCCACUGGAGCGAAGAACGGCAGCCGUGGUUCCAGGAGUCGCAACCUCACGUCAAACAUCCAGAGGAAGCGGGUCUGUGGCACAGAAUUUCCCAAACUCCCUGAGCUCCACACCGGGGAGCAGGGACCAUGUGCCCCUGUGAACAGUCACCAUGGCCCUGGCAUGAGAUGGACUGUUGACCAUUCCACCUGCCAAGAAGGAAGGUGUACUUCCGGAGACAAUGGUGGAAUCAACGUCCUCAGAAUCACAUGCAAGGAGGGAGUGGGAGCAUUAAAGGGAAGCUUUGACAAGUGGGACAUAGAGGAGCCUCUGAAGGCGGGUCCAGGACCAUCGCACAGGAGAAUGAAGGACCUGGGUCUUCGGGAGGAGGGAGACGGGCAGGAUGGAACAGGUACCCCCAGCAGCCUGGCACCGUUCUCCAGCCGGGUGGUCCACCUGCCAACCUCCCGUGGGCUGAGGUGGAAUUAGCGCUGUUUUGCAGGGCUCUGGUCUCAGCGAUGGGAGGGUUUGUUUCCGAUUUUCACCAGCGUUCUCAUCCAACCCCUACAUGCUGUGUCCUCCUGCGCACAGCUCUGCCCCAGCCCCCAACACGGCAAGGACAGCGGGCUCCAGGCUGAUUGCCCGGUGCAACUCCACGGAGCAGAAAGCCAUGGCCGAAAGAGUCUCAUGGUUUCACCUGUGUCGCUCAGCCAUGAUGGGCUCAGAACAACCAUCCACCAGAGGAGGGCUGGCAGCUGCCCCUGCCACCACUGAGAGCUGCCUCUGGCCACCAGCACCAAAGGGAGAGAUGAGAAGUCCUUUCUUUGUCUGCUGUGAGUGGCCCUGCUGUCAGCAUUCGGCCCACCGCCUCUUUCUCUUCCCUCGGCCUCAGAGAUGCAGUGUUUCACAGAGGACCCCGGUCCUCCCUGUGUGAUCAACCCCCAGCAGACGCCUGGGAGGCGGAGUCCCAGCACCUGGCAAGGAUGAGAGCGUGUGGGGACCGCCAGCACACAGGGCAGGGCCUGGGCCACCUGAAGCAGCCUGGGCAACUCUGCAGGAGCCUCUCCUGGGCUGGCCGUUUUCCC